rnacentral:rRNA from 1 species
GAUGAACGCUGGCGGCGUGCCUAAUACAUGCAAGUCGAGCGAACAGAUGAGGAGCUUGCUCCUCUGACGUUAGCGGCGGACGGGUGAGUAACACAUGGAUAACCUACCUAUAAGACUGGGAUAACUUCGGGAAACCGGAGCUAAUACCGGAUAAUAUAUUGAACCGCAUGGUUCAAUAGUGAAAGACGGUUUUGCUGUCACUUAUAGAUGGAUCCGCGCCGCAUUAGCUAGUUGGUAAGGUAACGGCUUACCAAGGCAACGAUGCGUAGCCGACCUGAGAGGGUGAUCGGCCACACUGGAACUGAGACACGGUCCAGACUCCUACGGGAGGCAGCAGUAGGGAAUCUUCCGCAAUGGGCGAAAGCCUGACGGAGCAACGCCGCGUGAGUGAUGAAGGUCUUCGGAUCGUAAAACUCUGUUAUUAGGGAAGAACAAAUGUGUAAGUAACUAUGCACGUCUUGACGGUACCUAAUCAGAAAGCCACGGCUAACUACGUG